rnacentral:rRNA from 1 species
UACGUAGGGCGCAAGCGUUGUCCGGAAUUAUUGGGCGUAAAGAGCUCGUAGGCGGCUUGUCACGUCGGGGUGUGAAAGCCCGGGGCUUAACCCCGGGUCUGCAUUCGAUACGGGCUAGCUAGAGUGUGGUAGGGGAGAUCGGAAUUCCUGGUGUAGCGGUGAAAUGCGCAGAUAUCAGGAGGAACACCGGUGGCGAAGGCGGAUCUCUGGGCCAUUACUGACGCUGAGGAGCGAAAGCGUGGGGGAGCGAACAGG